rnacentral:lncRNA from 1 species
AUAUGAGUUUCAAAAAUUUGAGAAACACUUUGCUAAAGUAACUUACUCCUUUUAGAUUGUUUGCCUUCUACUGACUGACUAGAGCACAGAGGCCUAUAUGUUAGACUUGCUUCUAGGAUGAGUUACUGAGAAAAACAAGCAUCUUAAUGAUUACAAUAACAUUUUUAUAAUAUAAAAUAUAAUUUAAGAAGUUAAUGUAUAACUUGGUUAUUUCCCUUGUAACUAAGAAAUCCAUUUUGAAGCUUCUAAGUACAAGCAAGGUGUUUUCUAAGGUAAAAUGUUUUCUGAACCCACUUUAAUUGUUAAUCUAUUUGGACCUUCCUGUGAACACUUGGAUCAUUUUCAUGGCUUUUGGUCAGUUCAGUAUUGUCCAUUUAUCAUAAGCUACUGGUAACAGUCCAGUAAACCCCAGGCAUUUAGUGUCAUCAAAUGAUUCAUGGUUUCUUACAGCACAAGGCAGUUUAUAGUGGUCAGGUGUCAAAUUUCUGCAUUAGCUCUCAGAUCUUUUCUGCUAUCUUGUGUUAAGUCUUGAUGUAUACUCACCUUCCUUUGCUCUCAUGGAAUUGAGCUGCCUUUUAUAAAGUGGAGACACCUUAUAAAUAUCUCCAUUGCCGCUCUGUCACUUCUAACUCCAAUCUGUUUCCUUCACAAUGGGUUAUCUCCUGGCUUUUUCUAAAGGGAUCAUGCCCUCGACUCUCCAAUUCAGAAGUAAAAUAAAAUAUGUGAGAGCCCUGUAAUUAAGGAGAGUGGACAGAGGGAAGAACUGACAUUUGCUGAGUACCUCUGAUGUUCUGCACACCGGCUGGGCCUUCCAUAUGUUAUCGUACUUGAUCUAGAUAUAUUCUAGAAACAUUAAGUCCACUCUAUUUACUUUAUAGUAACGAUGGCAUCAGCUCAGUUUUAGGCUCUCCUGAUGGUCUUCUGAUGAAAAUUUUUGUCAUUUGGUUUGUGUGUAGUUGAGAGAGAGAGGAUGUGUUUGUUGUUCUAGUCGUGCUACACACUGACAGAUCAUGGUUGGUUAGUGCAAUGGGGAGUGAGCGUCACAGUGUCUCCAGAACUGCUUUGUUUCUGGGUCUUGAUAAGGUAAGGGCCAUGUCGAUGGCAUAUGAAGACUCUGAAGCAGCCUAAAUUAUCUCUCAGCCUGGUGGGCUGCGCCUGGUGACUGGUGACACAUUGAACAGACAAGGAGCAAAGUCAACGUUUCAACCACCUGGUUAACUAGAUGUUAUCUUUAUACGCCUAAGGUCUUUCCCAAUGUUGACUAUAGUUUCCCUGGAAGGCUAUUUGACGCAGCACAAAGUUAAGCCAAUUUUGGUCUCCCAUUCUUGCUUGUCACCAUGUAAGGGUAUCAGGAGGCAGUACAGUUAUGUAUAGUGUGCUGAUUGGCAGAAGGGAAGCUGCCUUGUAGAAAUCCUGAUCCCACCCCUAACUGCCUUUCUGACCUUGGGUAAGUCAUUUAACUUCUCCUAGAACCAGUUCUUUCCAUCUAUAAAAUGAGUAUAGUUAUAGAACCUACAAUGCAUGUAAAGCACAAAGCACAGGGCCUGGUAUAUUGUUCAUAUUCACUUAUUGCCAUUAUAAUAACAACAAUAUCAAUGAUUAUUAUUCUUAAAACAAGAACCCCAAUAAAAAUAAAUCAACCUCAUGACUCCAAAGAAGCAAAUGCUAUUAACAUUAUGUCCUCUUAAAUUUCCAUAUAAUGCUAAUUUAUGAAUUUAAUAAUCUUAAUUGUCAGGAAACUUUCCUCAUUUUUAACCUAAAUCCUAAAUGCUAUAGAUAGGUUCUCAUUCCUCUUGAACUACCCAUGGAGAUUGUUUUCCUCAGAGUCUUCAUUUUCUAUAAAAUUUUCUCCACCCUUCCCAGAAGGCCCAGAUUUCAUUAGAUUUUUUGGAGGACAUGGAAUGUAAGUUUAACCCUUGCAAUAGCCUCAUUUUAGUCUAUUUUAUCACGUCAAAUAAGUUCUUCAGAAGAAAACUGUGUUCUUUCCCUUCACUUUUUGUGGGCAUUUUAUAAUAGAAUGAGCCAUAUGGAUUUAAGUAUAUUACAAAAUCAUUCUGUGGUUAGGACAGUUUGAAAGACAAAGUUAAAUCUAUUUAAUGGAAUAUUUUGGAAAAGAGAAAAAGAAAAGCCAUGUUUGUCCAAGAUUUUGUUUUGGGCACAUUUGAGUGACAAAGUUGUUUUAUAGGAACUGGUUUUAUUUUCCUUAUUCUUUCCUUAAUGUGGUUGCAUAAUUCAUGUUCAUGUUAAGUGUUAUUAAAAUAAAUGUAACUAUUUUAAAUUUGAUAAGCCCAUAAAUCCUUUCAGUGAAAGCAUACAUGGCAUGACAAAUUUCACUGUCGGACAAUUCAUAUCAGUAGAGACAGAUCUUAUAAGAUGUCUUCUUAUUUCAGUCACAAAUCAGAAAGUCUUCAUGCUGUACUGCAGGGAAGACGUGUACAUGCAUUAUAAAUUCUCUUUCACAUUCUAGAAAUUACAACCAGGAACUCCAGGUAGUUUUGAAAGCUUUUUCAAAUUAUCAAAUGCUGCAGACCAGAGAUUUUUCAAGUUUUAGUGUGUGGAAGAGUCGCCCAGAGGAUCUUGUCAGAAUGCAGAUUCUGAUUUAGUAGGUCUGGGGUGGGGCCUAGCAGUCUGCAUUUCUAAUAGGUCUCAGGUGAUGCUACUGCUGCUGGUCCUGGGCCACACUUUGGGUAGUAAGACUGUGGACUCCCCUUUCUCUUUGUGACUUCUACCCAACUUAGAAACUCUACAGAGUUUUCUGAAUCUAAAAGGUAGGUAAUAACUGAUGUCAGUUGGGAGAGAUGAAAUGAAAAUCACAUAGGUGAAUGUGAGUCUCACAAUAAACACUUGGGUCACUAUAGUUUAUGAUCUCUUGGGAUAGCAAGUGUGUUUAAGUCCGAUCUUCUGCAUUGUGGUUCCUCUCUCCCAAGACUCGUAUUCACUAUUAUUAUUACCAUUACUUUGCCUUUGCCAUUAUUAUGUCUUGUUUCUUUCACAAAGCCUAGGAAGACAAUGUAGUCUGCAAGAUCCAAGGAGAUUCUGAGCUCAAAGAAAGAUAAGAUGUGGCCUUCGUAGGAAAACCAAUAUCUGCCUUAAAAGUUUCUGGGAUCACUGCAAUUUCUACCAGUAAAUAUUACCUUCUAUUUUUAUAUUCACCAGAGUGACUAAGGUACUGUUAGAAGCAUAGGAGGUGCUUAAUAUGGAAUUUGAUUGCUGAAUUCCAUAAUGGCAUAAGAAUAAUAAUUUGCAGUAGGGAACAAUUGUGAAUGAGGAUGUGAGGUCUCUGUGUUAAGAGAGAUAGCAUUUACUGUAGUUUUGAUUUGCAUUUCUCUAAUAAUUAGUGAUGUUGAAAUUUUUUUUCAAGUGCCUACUGGCCGUCUGUAUGUCUUUGGAAAAAUGUCUGUUUAGGUCUUCUGCCCCUUUUCCAAUUGGGUUGUUUGUUUUUUGUUGUUGUUGAAUUGUAUGAGUUGUUUGUGCAUUUUGGAGAUUAUGCCCUUAUUGGUUGCAUCAUUUGCAAAGAUUUUCUCCCAGUCUGUGGGUUGUCUUUUUUUUUUUUUUUAAAUGGUUUCCUAUGCCGUGCAAAAGCUUUUAACAAAUGAAUCUAUGUAUGAAACAGACUAACGGACAUAGAGGACAGACUUGUGGUUGCCAAGGGGGAGAGGGGAAGAAGUGGGAUCGUCUGGGAGUUUGGAGUUAGUAGAUGCAAACUAUUACAUUUAGAAUAGAUAAGCAAUGAGGUCCUACUGUAUAGCACAGGAAACUAUAUCCAAUCUCUUGGGAUAGAACAUGAUGGAGGAUAGUAUAAGAAAAAGAAUGUAAUGUAUACAUGACUAGGUCACUAUGCUGUAUAGCAGAAGUUGACACAACAACAUAAAUCAACUAUACCCUAAUAAAAUUAAAAAAAAGAAGAGGGAUGGCAUUCUGCCUAUCAGGGAAGAAGUAGGUUGGCAUGAUUCCUCACUUCUCACUCAGUGGGGCUUGGGGAUUUUUGUAGUUUAAAAAGUUAAAUACUGGCCCACACUGUCCUUGAUGCUGAAGAGAAAAAACUGAAUUGAGAGGUAUUAAAUACCAGAAUUAGUUACCAGAGGCAGUAACACUUGAAAACAUGAGAAAAUUACUGCAUAACUGUUUAAAAAGAAAAGGGAAAAAAAAAAAAACCCUACAACUUUUGCUUGGUUCAAUUUUGUUGAAAGUUUAGAAAAAAUAUAUAGCCCCUAUAAAAGACCUAAAAGUUAAUUAGUAAUCUUUACUAUUAUAAGAAUAAUAGUAACUUUUAUAGCUUCAAAGUGUUCUGGAAUGAAUGAUUAAAACCUUAUUGUCCUGGGCUCCAUUUGCUGUUUGAAAGAGGCAGCUCUGGUUUUUCACAUGUACUGGGAUGCUCAGAGGGGGUUGGUGGAAUAUUGUCUUACAAUAUUCUUUGGCCACUUGAAAGGGAGCUGCUGGUGGUCAAGCUAUAUGAAAGAAGCAUGUCUACGCAAAAGAAAAAAAAAAAAAGCACAAAGGGACAUCCAUCCAGAAAGCUAAGACAAGACUCAGGGGACCUCAAGGACUGUCUUUUCUGCACAUGACUGUGUAUGAAUCAAAAACUCCUGUUACUGUUCCCUUGUCCAAGAUGGUUGACCAAGUUGCCACAAAUCAUGAAUCUCUAGACAAGUGGUGUUUUUUGUUGUCACUGUUUUUUGUGUGUUAGUUUUAAUGUGGAGAAAAACCCAAGUGUUUUUCUGCAGGAAGCAUAAUAUUAGAUGAAUAACUGUUUAGUAAUGUCCAUUUGGGCUGGUAUGACAAAAAUGUCAUAGACUGGGUGGCUUAAACAACAAACACUUAUUUCUCACAGUUUUGGAAGCUGUGAAGUCACAGAUCAGGGCACAAGCAAAUGAGAGCCUGUUCCUUGAUGAUAGACAGCUAUCUUCUUGAUGUGCCCUCACAUGGCAGAAGGGGUGAGGAAGUGCUCUGAGCUCUCCUUUAUAAGUCACUAAUUCCACUCAGAGGGGCUCCACCCUCAUAACCUAAUCACCUCCCAGAAACCCCACCUCCAACUACUGUCAUAUUUGAGAUUAGGUUUUAACAUAUAAAUUCUGGAACUGGGGUGGAGUUCCCUUUGUGGUGCAGCAAAAACGAAUUUGACUAGUAUCCAUGAGGAUGUGGGUUCCAUCCCUGGCCUUGCUCAGUGGGUUAAGGAUCAGCCUUGCUGUGAGCUGUGGUGUAGGUUGCAGACAUGGCUCAGAUCCUCCUUUGCUGUGGCUGUGGUUUAGGCUGGCAGCUGUAGCUCUGAUUUGACCCCUAGCCUGGAAACUUCCAUAUGCCAUGGGUAUGGCCAUAAAAAACAAAAAUAAAUAAAUAAAAAAAAAUAAAUUCUGGAGGCACAUUCAAUCUAUUGAAGAUAAUAUUUAAGGACUAGGAAUAACAAACCCAACUUUUAAGAAUUGGUUUUAAAUUAUAUCAUAACCUAAACUGAUUAAACAAUAGUUAGUAUUUGUGUUAUAGCUUUAGUAUAUAUUUUCAUGUAUACCUGUAUACAUGACUGUAUAGGUUGAUUUCCUGUUUCUAACAUUCAGGCUUGUUGACCUCUGAAAUGGAAGCUCAAUCUCCUCCUUCUCUGAUGGCUUUGACCCUAAUUGAGGCAUGGAACUCAGUUGGAAGUAACCUCAGAAGGAGACUCUUCACCUCAGACAGUUUUAAGCAGGGUCUAGGCAGAAGGCAGGAUGAGGGCCUGUGAGUUAGUGUUCUCUGGUUGUAAGCAACACAACUGACCCCAGCUGAUUUGAAAAACAGGAAAUUUAUAGGGAAAAUGUGAGAGAAUGCCUAGGCUCAGUGGGAAGUCUGGAAAUAUCAAGCUUGGAAAAGGAUAGGCCUGGGGCAGCUCUAGGGGUCUGGGCAGCAGUCUCGUGGCAUCACUGCUGGAACAGAUGAGCCCAGCUGAUUUUCUUCCUUGAAUCCUCCUGUUUAAGAUUAAAUUCCCGGAGUUCCCAUCGUGGCACAGCGGAAACGAAUUCAACUAGGAACCAUGAGGUUGCGGUUUCGAUCCCUUGCCUCGCUCAGUGGGUUAAGGAUCCAGCCUUGCCAUGAGCUGUGGUGUAGGUCGCAGGUGCAGCUUGGAUCUGGCAUUGCUGUGGCCGUGGUGUAAGCCUGUGGCAACAGCUCCGAUUGGACCCCUAGCCUGGGAACCUCCAUAUGCCGUGGGUGCAGCCCUAAAAAAGACAAAAGACAAAAAAAAAAAAAAAGAUUAAAUUCCUGCAAAAGGGAGCAUGUCCUUGGCUAAAGAUGGUGGACAACCCUUUCUUCACUGAAGACUUUAUGCCUUGAGGAAGUGGUAGUUCUCUAAGGCAAAAUUGAGGUGCAUACAUAGAAGAAGGAGGAAAGAGGUAAAGUGGGCAAGAAAAAUAGAUGUACAGAGUUGAAAAGAAUAAGCAGGGGCUGAGAAGAUGGUUCUUCCUCAAUUCUUUCCAUUGCAGGGUAGAUUUGAGUUUCUAGUUGUUGGGCCUGCUCUGACACUGGGUCUCUUUCACUGUGUUUCUCAUGUGUUCAGCUUUCACAAGUGUGACAUUUCUCAGUUGGUGCAACUGCUGAGGAUAAGCUCCCCCCCCCCUUUAAAUACAAUUUUGUUUUGUAUCUAGGAGAUUUGCCACACUUGUAAAGAAAACCAAAGAAAGCUCUCUGUACCUUGAUUAAUGCUUCAAUAAAUAAUACCCUAUUUGGUCAUUU